GCCGUCAGCUUCUGAGGCUGCGCAGCGGGAGAAAAGGGUUAGACUAACCGUUAGAGGGUCGAGCACUGACUUCGCCUCCUCUUCCGAGAAGCCUUCCCAGACACUCAGCCGUAAAACGAGACACAGACUUUGGCUCCCUAAAAGCCAAGACCCAGAAGAUCAUAUGGGAAAUUCCCUCUUUUAUGAUUCCCCGUGCACGAAGCGACCUUCUUCUGGUGGUGAGAUGGAGAGAAAAUUAUAGUGCCUAUAGACAGCAAAGUCUCCUGGAGCCAGACUUCCUCAGGGCUAUGUUGCCCAAACUGGACUCGAAC